rnacentral:rRNA from 1 species
AUGCUUAGGAAGAUGUUCCAAGGUGGUUCUUCUAAGAAGCAAGGACCCAGGAUUGUUAUGCGCGAUGCUGACGAGGAUCCACCAAGAGACGCUCCAGUACGGCCUUGCGAAUGGCCGUCGGAAAAUUUUAUGGACCGUGCGGGAAUUAACGAAGAAUUCAAAGUAUAUUUGCGCAAUGCUGGUCUUGAGGAUUUUGAGGCUAACAAAUGCCCCCAGUAUCAUGAUCUCACAAGUUCAUUUGUGAGAAGGUUUGAGUAUUCAUCUUCGCAUAAUUCUCCUUCAAUCAUGUUUGAUCUCUAUGACAAAUUUUAUACCAUGGACUUAGAGGAUUUCACUUCUGCUUGCAAACUUCCAUCAUGGGGUAGUGUUAGGGAUCCCCUAAAUCUGAAUUUAGAAACUUUCUUGCUAGUAUAA